CACUUCUAAGGAAGGCAGCAGGCGCGCAAAUUACCCAAUCCUGACUCAGGGAGGUAGUGACAAGAAAUAACAAUAAACCGGCUUAUGCCGGUUUAAUUGGAAUGAGUACAAUUUAAACAUCUUAACGAGGAACAAUUGGAGGGCAAGUCUGGUGCCAGCAGCCGCGGUAAUUCCAGCUCCAAUAGCGUAUACUAAAGUUGUUGCAGUUAAAAAGCUCGUAGUUGGAUUUCUGUGGGGACGGAGCGGCCGGCCGCACAUCGCGGUUCGAGCUAGCGCUUUCCCUACAUCCUGCCGCGAACCGUGCUACCAUUAGUUUGGUGGCGCCGGGGAUCGGCUCGAUUACUUUGAGAAAAAUAGAGUGUUCAAAGCAGGCCACAUGCCUUGAAUAAGUUAGCAUGGAAUAAUAACUAAGGACUUCGGUUCUAUUUUGUUGGUGUUCGGGACUGAAGUAAUGAUUGAUAGGGACAGUUGGGGCGGUCUGUAUUCCAAAGCGAGAGGUGAAAUUCUUAGACCUUCGGAAGACAAACAACUGCGAAAGCGUUCCGCAAGGAUGUUCCCUUUGAUCAAGAACGAAAGUUGGGGGAUCGAAGACGAUCAGAUACCGUCGUAGUCUCAACUAUAAACUAUACCAGCUAGGGAUCGGCCAACGUUAUUUUAUACCGACUUGGUCGGCACCUUAUGAGAAAUCAAAGCAUCUGGGUUCCGGGGGGAGUAUGGUCGCAAGGCUGAAACUUAAAGGAAUUGACGGAAGGGCACCGCCAGCCGUGGAGCCUGUGGCUUAAUUUGACUCAACACGGGAAAACUUACCAGGUCCAGACAUAGUAAGGAUUGACAGAUUGAUAGCUCUUUCUUGAUUCUGUGGGUGGUGGUGCAUGGCCGUUCUUAGUUGGUGGAGUGGUUUGUCUGGUUAAUUCCGUUAACGAACGAGACCCCAGCCUGCUAAAUAGCGCGUGUGAGCUUUGCUCGCAGCGAGCUUCUUAGAGGGACUAUGAUGCGCGAUAGCACAUGGAAGUUUGGGGCAAUAACAGGUCUGUGAUGCCCUUAGAUGUUCUGGGCCGCACACGGGCUACACUGGCGCCUGCAACGAGCAUAUCAGCUGGCCCGAGAGGGUCUUGGCUAAUCUUUUGAACCGGCGCCGUGCUUGGGAUUGACCUUUGCAAUUGUUGGUCAUGCAACGAGGAAUGCCUUGUAAACGCGAGUCAUCAGCUCGCAUUGAAUACGUCCCUGCCCUUUGUACACACCGCCCGUCGCUCCUACCGAUGAAUGUUCCGAUGAAAUUUUCGGAGAGUGCCUGUGAACUUGGCUCUGCCUUGCGAACGGGAAGCUCAAAGUCACUUAAAUCUGAACAUUUCGAGG
rnacentral:rRNA from 1 species